rnacentral:misc_RNA from 1 species
UUCUGAACUAUUCAAACCAAACUCAAGAAGAAAUCAUCCGCCUAAUUUAAACAGAAGAAAUCGACUCCACCGUAUAAUCGUGCUCCAAAGCCCACCGCCACCUGAUGUAAUCGCGGAAAAACAACUCACCAUCCCCGGCGGCGCGUUCCAGCUCCCUUCACCAGGAGACCCACGACACUGCUCGCCUCAGAAACCGGGACCCACCGCCGGCAAUUUCCGUUCUCUACACCUUAG